AGGGAUCAUAGCUUUCACCUGGUCAGUCUAUGUCAUGGAAGUAGCAGGUGUUCAUAAUAUUUUGUAUAAUCACUGUUUAUCACACUGACUUUUAUUUCUGAUGCUGUUCACACAGGUCACAUUGAGACAUUCUCUACAUCCAGAGAGCAACAGCAGGAAGAUCAGAGAGCUAAGAGGUCUCACCACUGCCCACAUUAUGCACAAUUGGAUUGAGAUCUGGUGACUCGGCAGGCCACUGCAGUAAACUGAAUUCACAGUCAUGUUCUUGGAACCAUUCCUGGACAAGCCUUGUGGCGUAAUCCUGCUGAAGAAAUCUAUUUGCAGCUGGAUACACAGCUGCCAUGAAGGAUGCACCAGAGCAAAAAACAAUUAACUUUGGUUGCAGGAAUGAAAACACUGGAAAAUUUGAAAAGCAUUGCCUGGUCUGAUUAAUCCCGGUUCCUGCUGUUUCACACUGAUGGAAGGACUAGGGUAUGGAGAGAACCACGAGUACAUGCAAGUACCUAACUGUCAUACUUGAGUAAAAGUAAUGAUACCUUAAUGGAAAAUGACUCAAUUAAAAGUAAAAGUCAGACGGUAAAAUACUACUUGAGUAAGAGUCUAAAAGUAUUUGGUUGUAAAUAUACUUAAGUAUCAAAAGUAAAAGUAUAAAUGAUUUCAAAUUCCUAAAAUUAUGCAAACCAGAAGGCACAAUUGUCUUGUUUUUUUAUAUUACGGAUAGCCAGGGCACACUCCAACACUCUGACAUCAUUUACAAAUGAAGCAUUUGUGUUUAGUGAGUCUGCCAGAUCAGAGGCAGUAGGGAUGACCAGGGAUGUUAACUUGAUAAGUGUGUGGAUUGGACCAUUUUCUGUCCUGCUAAUCAUAAACAAUGUAAUGAGUACUUUUGGGUGUCAGGGAAAAUGUAUGGAGUAAAAAGUGCUUUAUUUUAUAUUGGAAUUUGGUGAAAUUAUAAAUAGUAAAGUACAGAUACAACUAAAGUAGGUCUUUUAAAUAAUUUAAUAGAGUAAAAAGUAUAUAUUUUCUUUAGGAAUGUAGUGAAAUAAAUGUAAAGUUACCCCCCAAAACACGACUAAAAGUUAUUUGAUUUUUUAAAAUUUAAGUUCUUUACACCACUGCAUGCAUCCAUGCCUCGUGUCAGCAUUGCAGGCUGGUGGUGUGAAGGUGUGGGGUGUGUUUUCAGGGAGCACAUGGGGCCCCUUGAUAAAAGAUGAAUGCCAAUCAGUUGCAUCCCUUCAUGGCAGCAGUGUCUGUCUUUUAAUACUAGAUUCAUUAUUUUAGUCAUUGAUGAUGAAUGUAUUUGAAGAACUGUAUUGAAGUUAAUUGAUCUGACGGCAGGUAGCCAGCGGUUAAGAGUGUUGGGCCAGUAACUGAAAGGUCGCUGGUUUGAAUCCCGAGCUGACUAGGUGUAAAAUCUGUGUUUGUGCCCUUGAGCAAGGCAAUUAACCCUUAUUUGUCCUGUAAUUUGCUCUGGAUAAGAGCAUCUGCUAAAUGACAAGAUUGUAAUGAAAAAUAAUGUUUGCAUGAAAUAAACUGUUUGAAGUGAAA